rnacentral:rRNA from 1 species
GACGAACGCUGGCGGCGUGCUUAACACAUGCAAGUCGAACGGAAAGGCCCUGCUUUUGUGGGGUGCUCGAGUGGCGAACGGGUGAGUAACACGUGAGUAACCUGCCCUUGACUUUGGGAUAACUUCAGGAAGCUGGGGCUAAUACCGGAUAGGAGCUCCUGCUGCAUGGUGGGGGUUGGAAAGUUUCGGCGGUUGGGGAUGGACUCGCGGCUUAUCAGCUUGUUGGUGGGGUAGUGGCUUACCAAGGCUUUGACGGGUAGCCGGCCUGAGAGGGUGACCGGCACACUGGCGACAGAGAUACGGCCGGGAGUCCUACGGGAGGCAGCAGUGGGGAAUAUUGCACAAUGGGGGGAAGCCUGAUGCAGGAACGCCGCGUGCGGGAUGAUGGCCUUCGGGUGGUAAACCGUUUUCGCCUGUGACGAAGCGUGGGUGACGGUAAUGGGUAAAGAAGCACCGGCUAACUACGUG